UUAUGACCUGGGCUACAAACGUGAUACAAUGGCUGUUACAAAGGGUAGCUGCAAACGUAAGUUCUUGGCCAAUCCCCAAAAACAGUCUCAGUCCGGAUUGAAGUCUGCAACUCGACUUCAUGAAGUUGGAAUCGCUAGUAAUCGCGAAUCAGCAUGUCGCGGUGAAUACGUUCUCGGGGUUUGUACACACCGCCCGUCAAACCACGAAAGUUGGCAAUACCCCAAAAUGGUAGCCUAACUCGUUUAUUCGAGAGGGCGCUGUCUAAGGUAGGGUCGAUGAUUGGGGUUAAGUCGUAACAAGGUAUCCCUACCGGAAGGUGGGGAUGGAUCACCUCCUUU
rnacentral:rRNA from 1 species